rnacentral:rRNA from 1 species
CCUACGGGAGGCAGCAGUGAGGAAUAUUGGUCAAUGGACGAAAGUCUGAACCAGCCAAGUAGCGUGCAGGAUGACGGCCCUAUGGGUUGUAAACUUCUUUUAUAAAGGAAUAAAACGAGGCACGCGUGCCUGUCUGCAUGUACUUUACGAAUAAGGAUCGGCUAACUCCGUGCCAGCAGCCGCGGUAAUACGGAGGAUUCGAGCGUUAUCCGGAUUUAUUGGGUUUAAAGGGUGCGUAGGUGGGUGGUUAAGUUAGUUGUGAAAGUCUGCGGCUCAACUGUAGAAUUGCCACUGAUACUGGGCGUCGUGAGUACAGUUGAGGUAGGCGGAAUGUAUGGUGUAGCGGUGAAAUGCUUAGAUAUCAUGCAGAACCCCGAUUGCGAAGGCAGCUUACUAAGCUGUGACUGACAUUGAUGCACGAAAGUGUGGGUAGCAAACAGGAUUAGAUACCCUUGUAGUC